rnacentral:rRNA from 1 species
GAUGAACGCUGGCGGCGUGCCUAAUACAUGCAAGUAGAACGCUGAAGGAGGAGCUUGCUCUUCUGGAUGAGUUGCGAACGGGUGAGUAACGCGUAGGUAACCUGCCUGGUAGCGGGGGAUAACUAUUGGAAACGAUAGCUAAUACCGCAUGACAACAGUUAUUGCAUGAUAACUGUUUAAAAGGGGCAACUGCUCCACUACCAGAUGGACCUGCGUUGUAUUAGCUAGUUGGUGAGGUAACGGCUCACCAAGGCGACGAUACAUAGCCGACCUGAGAGGGUGAUCGGCCACACUGGGACUGAGACACGGCCCAGACUCCUACGGGAGGCAGCAGGAGGGAAUCUUCGGCAAUGGACGGAAGACUGACCGAGCAACGCCGCGUGAGUGAAGAAGGGUUUCGGAUCGUAAAGCUCUGUUGUAAGAGAAGAACGAGUGUGAGAGUGGAAAGUUCACACUGUGACGGUAUCUUACCAGAAAGGGACGGCUAACUACGUG